GUCGUGAGAUGUUGGGUUAAGUCCCGCAACGAGCGCAACCCUCGCUUCCAGUUGCUACCGGGUAAAGCCGAGGACUCUGGAAGGACUGCCGGUGCCAAACCGGAGGAAGGUGGGGACGACGUCAAGUCAUCAUGGCCCUUACGUCUAGGGCUACACACGUGCUACAAUGGACCGUACAAAGGGUUGCGAAGCCGCGAGGUGGUGCCAAUCCCAGAAAGCGGUCCUCAGUUCGGAUUGUAGUCUGCAACUCGACUACAUGAAGCCGGAAUUGCUAGUAAUCGUGGAUCAGCAUCGCCACGGUGAAUACGUUCCCGGGCCUUGUACACACCGCCCGUCACGCCAUGGAAGCUGCGAGCGCCCGAAGUCGGUGUUGGAACCCGUAAGGGGCCAAGCCGCCGAAGGCGAGCGCAGUGACUGGGGCGAAGUCGUAACAAGGUAGCCGUAGGGGAACCUGCGGCUGGAUCACCUCCUUUCUGGAGCGAUGAGUAGACUGCCCUCGGGUAAUCGAAAAUCCUCAAGAAUUGUCGCUCGACUCGUACAACUCCUCUCUUCGAUCUCGAUUGCUCAACGGCAAGGCGCGCAGGCCCAUCAGGGGCAACUCUGAUGGGCCUGUGUCGCCACCUGCUAUUUGAAAAAUGAUCAUGGAUGAGUAGAUCGUGGGAUAUGAAUUCUCAUCGAGCUCGGACUAGGGGUGUGCGGUUGACUCUGCACACGUCGAAUGCCGGGAUCGAUAGUGAUUGCAAUGAUCAGAGAGUUGAUCAGUAGGGAAUGCUCUGCUUGCGCAAAGGUGGUGUUUGCGGGUGAAACGACUUUGUAGUCAAGCGAGUGAAGGCAUGUGGAGGAUGCCUGGGCACACGGAGGCGAGGAAGGCCGCGGUAAGCUGCGAUAAGCCAGGGGGAGCGGCACACACGCACUGAUCCCUGGAUGG
rnacentral:sRNA from 1 species